GGAUGUGAGGGUGAUCUGGCUGCGACAUCUGUCACCCCAUUGAUCGCCAGGGUUGAUUCGGCUGAUCUGGCUGGCUAGGCGGGUGUCCCCUUCUUCCCUCACCACUCCAUGUGCGUCCCUCCCGAAGCUGCACGCUCGGUGGAAGAGGACGACCAUCCCAGAUAGAAAGAGUGUAUGGUUCUUCGGUCAAGGAUAUACGAUAGCUGCGCUCCCCUGCUAAACCCUCCAAACAAGCUCAAAAUGCAUUAGUAUAGGGGUGUCAAACCCACGUCGUCACAAUAGUAUCACAUGACGUAUUG
rnacentral:snRNA from 1 species